UUUCAAGUCAACCCUUGGUGUCGGAACAACGAAUACGUGUAUUUCGGCCGGUGACGUCACAUCAAAACAAACCAGUUAAAUUGCCUGAAGUGUUCGAAAGAAUCCGUGCACGGUUAUGGCCGAGCGACACAUCGCUACUGAAACCGCAACUGCAGAUCCCAGGGAAAGUUAUUGCAUGGCAACACGAACUUCGGUCGCAAUUCUCAAUACGUCUUCCGUAUAGCGCGAACUUGGCACUGGCAACCUAUCAUCUGUUUCGGUCUUCGCAGAACUCUUCUACUGGCGUCGAUUUAAUUGUCGUCAGGAAGGGCCGCAAGAAUCACUUGUCACAGUUUUUUUUGUUCACAAGAUCACCGACGUUCUACAGUGAUAGAAUUAGGGUGUUGCUAGAAAAGAACACUACUGAUAGAUUGCGUAUUAGUAAUAUUUCUUGGCUGGUAGACAAUCAUUAUUGUUUUGAUUGUUCAAUAUAAUUACAAUAUAAUAACAAUUUGGUAUAAAACAGCGAUUAAAAACUCUUCCGACUGUUAUUUUACUUUC